GGCCAGUAAGCAUUAGAAAAAUUAGUAAAAUGGACACAUGAUCAGAUUUACGCAACUACAACAGUAGACUCAACAGUUGCUACGAUUCUAUAGAAAAUAAGGCCUUAAGGUUCAGGGAUUCUUUAUAUCACAAACUCUGUGAGCAGUAAUAAUACUGAUGAUGCCACUCAAGUGUUUUUGUAAUAAUUCACUCUUAUCCUCAGCGUCAGAGCCUGCCAUCCGCCAACAGUGCCGACCCAGAAGCUCAGAGAGAGAAAACUGGUGCUAAGCAAGUGGAGAGUACACGGAGUCUCACAGCAGAAGAGUGGUUAUCUGGAAUUCAAGACAUCUAUGAACGCCAUGUUGGCUAAUAAACUUUUCCAUGGAAGAUCAGUGAUCUCCCGAUCGAGGAACAGCAUGAGUGAUAAUAUAUCUCUGGUGUUGGGGACCUUCUACAUGCAGCGUGUGGUCCAAUAUGAAAGGAAGCUUCUUAGCCUGGAGGCACGCAAGCAGAGACGCAAACCCGGACGAGCCUCCGCCGGAAGAAGAUGAGCAGUAAAGUUCAGGCACGCAUGGCCUUCUCCUCUUACCUGCACCGUGAAGGAGAAGGAGCACGAUCAGAUGAUAAACCAUGUCAGCUUUUAUUGAAAUAUCUCUUUCACAUACAGUACCUGACAAAAAUUACAGCUAGUUAGUUCACCCCAUAAAUGCCAUGAUUUAAUGUUGCGGGUCAGUUUGACACUUUGAUAUGUUGUGAAAUGUGCAUAUGAAAUUUGUCACAAUUAUGAUAUUUCAUGGUUAAACACAGUUGCUCAAACUCAAAAUAAAAUAAUGUCUUUUGUUAUGUCA
ensembl:lncRNA